UACACGAAAGAAAGUCAACACCUACAUAUAUAGGGUUGUUGACGCAAAUAAUUGUACUGUGUUCGCAAAUAAUUGUACUGUGUUCUUGGUCUAGUGUAGUACAGCAGUCCUAAUGCUUAAUUGUUCACAGGUUAUAUUUGGAAACAAAAAAAUGUUACCCUAGCUAUAAUUGUAUUGUACUUUGCAUGUAUUCUCAGAUAAUAAAGAACUGGAUUUCCC
rnacentral:lncRNA from 7 species